UGCGUAGGCGGACUAAUAAGUCAGUGGUAAAAUCUUUCGGCUCAACCGAGAAACUGCCAUUGAUACUGUUAGUCUUGAGUUCGGUUGAGGUAGGCGGAAUGUGUAAUGUAGCGGUGAAAUGCUUAGAUAUUACACAGAACACCAAUUGCGUAGGCAGCUUACUAGACCGACACUGACGCUGAGGCACGAAAGCGUGGGGAGCGAACAGGAUUAGAUACCCUGGUAGUCC
rnacentral:rRNA from 1 species